rnacentral:rRNA from 1 species
AGCUUGCUCCCAUUUCUCAGCGGCGGACGGGUGAGUAACACGUGGGCAACCUGCCCUGCAGACUGGGAUAACUCCGGGAAACCGGAGCUAAUACCGGGUAAUACAUAGCAUCGCAUGAUGCAACGUUGAAAGUUGGCCUUUGGCUAACACUGUAGGAUGGGCCCGCGGCGCAUUAGCUAGUUGGUAAGGUAACGGCUUACCAAGGCCACGAUGCGUAGCCGACCUGAGAGGGUGAUCGGCCACACUGGGACUGAGACACGGCCCAGACUCCUACGGGAGGCAGCAGUAGGGAAUCUUCCGCAAUGGACGAAAGUCUGACGGAGCAACGCCGCGUGAGUGACGAAGGCCUUCGGGUCGUAAAGCUCUGUUGUUAGGGAAGAACAAGUACCGUUCGAAUAGGGCGGUACCUUGACGGUACCUAACCAGAAAGCCACGGCUAACUACGUGCCAGCAGCCGCGGUAAUACGUAGGUGGCAAGCGUUGUCCGGAAUUAUUGGGCGUAAAGCGCGCGCAGGCGGUCUCUUAAGUCUGAUGUGAAAGCCCACGGCUCAACCGUGGAGGGCCAUUGGAAACUGGGGGACUUGAGUGCAGAAGAGGAGAGUGGAAUUCCACGUGUAGCGGUGAAAUGCGUAGAUAUGUGGAGGAACACCAGUGGCGAAGGCGGCUCUCUGGUCUGUAACUGACGCUGAAGCGCGAAAGCGUGGGGAGCGAACAGGAUUAGAUACCCUGGUAGUCCACGCCGUAAACGAUGAGUGCUAAGUGUUGGGGGCUUCCACCCUCAGUGCUGA